rnacentral:lncRNA from 1 species
GAAGAAGUCUCAUUAGCCUACAACUCCUAACCACUACCCAAACAUCUGUGUUUAUCAAGCAGUUCGACAAUCCUUAACAUUAUUCUCCAAUCAAAGAUACACAUCAGACAAUGAAACCCAUCAGUCUCCUACCCAUUUAACCAUAAUAAUAAAAUUACUUCUCUCUUCAUUUUUACAAAUCCAGUUCUACAAAAUGCACACUUAAAACAAAACCUCAAACUUAAUAGACCAUAAACUUAGUUUCCAUAUCAACUAUAUUAUACAAAAAAAUUUCAACUCUUUCAAACCUAGAAUCUUUACGACGCACUCAAUACUAAUUAUUAAAAUAUAUCAAAACUAAAUGACAAUUGCAUCAGUAUUUACACAAUGUAACACACACAAAAAACAAUUACACCUUUCAGUUUGACAAUAUAUAACAAAAUAAAAACUAAAACACAUUACUCGGACAAACUUACUCACACACACCUUAGCAAAGGACAACCCUGUACCAACGAAUAUAUC